rnacentral:rRNA from 1 species
AACGCUAGCUACAGGCUUAACACAUGCAAGUCGAGGGGUAACGAGAGGAAGGCUUGCUUUUCUUGUCGACGACCGGCGCACGGGUGAGUAACGCGUAUCCAACCUGCCCACAACUAGAGAAUAACCUUGCGAAAGUAAGACUAAUGCUCUAUAAUUUCCUCAGAUGGCAUCUGACGAGGAAUAAAGAUUUAUCGGUUAUGGAUGGGGAUGCGUCUGAUUAGCUUGUUGACGGGGUAACGGCCCACCAAGGCAACGAUCAGUAGGGGUUCUGAGAGGAAGGUCCCCCACAUUGGAACUGAGACACGGUCCAAACUCCUACGGGAGGCAGCAGUGAGGAAUAUUGGUCAAUGGGCGCAAGCCUGAACCAGCCAAGUAGCGUGCAGGAUGACGGCCCUAUGGGUUGUAAACUGCUUUUAUACAGGGAUAAAGUUAGCCACGUGUGGCUAUUUGCAGGUACUGUAUGAAUAAGGACCGGCUAAUUCCGUGCCAGCAGCCGCGGUAAUACGGAAGGUCCAGGCGUUAUCCGGAUUUAUUGGGUUUAAAGGGAGCGUAGGCUGUCUGUUAAGCGUGUUGUGAAAUGUAGAUGCUCAACAUCUGAAUUGCAGCGCGAACUGGCAGACUUGAGUGUGCGCAACGUAGGCGGAAUUCGUGGUGUAGCGGUGAAAUGCUUAGAUAUCACGAAGAACUCCGAUUG